UCAGCUGUACGCGUGAGAAUAGAAGAGGUCACAUAUAAUGUUGACAGCGAAGAUAAAAUUGCAAGAGGCACCGUAGUGCAAUCUAUCAAUCAAGGGAUAGAGGCUCUUGAAAAAGACGACGAGAUGCAAUUUUUCUGGAAACACUUUUGUGACUUCCCAUCAUUGAAAGAGAACAAAACUUACAUAAUAAUAGGCAGAGAUGGCAAUAAAGUUAAUGCUGAUAGCGGAGUAAUUUACCGGUAUCCAUUAAUGGGAUCAACAUUAGUCAUGGAGUAUAUAAGCCCUAAGCAGGCUAGGAGAAUGGGAAGGAAAUAUAGAAUACUCCGCACGGUCCAGACCAAUUUCGAACACCUAAUGAAAGCAGGUUGUCAGCUCUAGAAAGAAUUUGUCGACUGUCAUAUUAUUAUCAAGAUUUUUAGCAAUGAGUGAACAGUUUUUUAAAUUGUGAUUAUAACGGGGCAUCACAAAUAAAAAGCGUUAUGGACAUAAAAAAAUGAGCUUUUAAUGUAAGGUCUCGUGCGUUUAAAAGUGCCUCACAAAAACAAUUACAACUGGAAAUACUUCGAUUGCAUGACCAUGUGCUGAAUGAAAAUUAUUACAUUCACAUUAAACAGUGAUAAUGUUAGUUUUACAGAUUUUAUUUUCAAAGAAGCUUAAAUGUGUCUUAUCAUGGUAGAGGUGUUUCUCUCAUGAAUUCGAGUAUCGUUGGAUACCCAAGGUUGAUGGACAUGUUAUCUAAUAAAAAUUUUAAAGGGACUCCACUGUAUUUUUUUCACAUGGCGAGACUGGAAAUUAUUUUCCCAGAUAAAUGUUCCUGGACCAUCUGAAGCAGUCAAGACCAAUUAACUUUGUGCAAAAUUUCAGAUCAUUCGCUCACUCAGUUUUUCCAGAAUAUUUAUUCGAAUAAAUUGUUUAAAAUGACCCUUUUUCAAUUCUGGCUAAGAAAAGCACGAACAAUAUAAUUUUUAAUCUAUUUCUAACUACCUGUGCAUAUAUUCCCGCUAUUAGUGCAUAAACUCAUUUAUGUAAGAAAUUCAAAUUUUAUGUUAUUAGGCUUUGAUACCUUCUAGAGUCCCUUUAAUGAUUCGGGUGUAUCCGAAAAGUCAUUGUGAAUGUUGUGUCGAGGAUGACAUGUCCAUGAUUAGGCUAUGUACAUUGUAUAACAAGCAAAAGAGAAUAGCCAUGUCGACUUAGUGCCAAUACUUUCAAAACAAGUCUUUUAAUGUUCAAAUGUCUUGUAAACAAAAGCAACAAUUAAAUUAAAGUUCUAAAACUGUUUUAAAGUGAGGCUUGUUUAGUCUACAUAUUUAUAUGUAAUAAAGAACAAUGUGCAUUUAGUUCUAUCGAAAUUGAUUUAUGUUCUUUGGAGGUGGUUCUUUGUAGAACAAUAUGUGUGAUUCCCUGACUAUAGCAUAUUGGUGCAAUUGUUACAUGUAUUUUGUUUUUUGAAGGAACUCCACUGAGGUCCAAUAGCCGAAAUAUAUGUAAUGUGAAAUUCUUAAAAUAUAAAUCUACUUAGACAUUUAAAACAGAUCACUGUCAAAAUAUAAUUAAUAAAUAUACUCAGAAAUAAAUCGAAAAACGUGUUUUUUGUAUUAUUCUUAGUUCGAAUUUAGUGCAACACUAUUCAAGUUUGGAAUAUUUUUCAAAAUUAGAAUAUUUAUUCUGAAAAAAAGAUAGUGAGCUUGGCAGACAAGUUAUUGAUCUAUUUCAAGAUUAAUUAUUGAGCAUUAAUCUUGAAAAAAGAAAUAUUUUCAAUCCCGUCGUGUCAAACAAAAAAACUCACUGGAGUCCCUCUAACGUAACAGAGUACAUGUACAUAUUUCAUAGGAAAAUUAAUGCCCUUGUUUGACACUAUGAUAUAUUGAUGAAAAAGAAAUAUUGAUAUAUAACUAUAUACUUGUAAUGAUUUGUUUAUUCACCUUUAUACUUAUUUUUACCUAUGUACCCGUUGAUAGUCAUUUCCCAUAAGUAUUUUCUUACCUAACGACUAUCACUUGUACAGUUUAAUUGUUAAUUUCAUCUAAAGUUAAGAUUGCAUGUCUUAUGAAUAUCAUAAUUGUUGCUUUAAAGUGACCUUAUGCUUUUUUUUUCGUUGUCAACUUGAGCUGAAUUGGUUAUAUAUUUAAAAUGAUUGACUGUUAUAACAGCCAUUGGCCAAUAGUUGAUAAUAUAAAAUGUUUAGGAUGAAGUAUAACAAUUGUCUAUAAUACAAAAAUAACAGCCCAACUCUUUUUCACAAUUGAAUGUUGAAGAUAUUUAUAGCAUUUUAUGUGAGCAACGUUGGUCAUAUGCACAUGACCUAAAACAAUUAGGUCUAUGCCCAAAUUAUUUUGACUUUGACAUGUAAACCCACCAUUUACACUUGCAUGGGCAUAAUGUCACUUUAAGACCUUAUAUUUUUAUAGAUUUGCAUUUUCUUUAAGGGUAUAUGAUAUGUGCAAGAUAUAUUCUGAUACUUGAAAGACUAAGUGUAUAUUAAAUUUUUGGAUUUUUCUGUAACAUUCUUCUUUUCUCCACACUAAUCUCUAGGUGAGAAUUUGCCAAUAUUGCAUUUUUUCUAUUUUGCAUUUUAUUCUUUUUCAUAGUUAUUAUUAAUAUCAUUAUUUUGCU